rnacentral:rRNA from 1 species
UGCCAGCAGCCGCGGUAAUACGGAGGGGGCUAGCGUUGUUCGGAAUCACUGGGCGUAAAGCGCACGUAGGCUGACUGGAAAGUUGGGGGUGAAAUCCCAGGGCUCAACCCUGGAACUGCCUUCAAUACUGUCAGUCUUGAGUCCGAGAGAGGUGAGUGGAAUUCCUAGUGUAGAGGUGAAAUUCGUAGAUAUUAGGAAGAACACCAGUGGCGAAGGCGGCUCACUGGCUCGGUACUGACGCUGAGGUGCGAAAGCGUGGGGAGCAAACAGGAUUAGAUA